rnacentral:rRNA from 1 species
AUGCGGAAAAUUAAGAGGGAUGGUGGUGAUCUCACAAGAAGCUUGCAUGGGAACAAAAGAGCUAAGAGUGUGGUGACGACCUCGAAAGAAUCUUGCUUAGAAAUACGAGAGCCAAUCCAGAUCUCAGGUGACUUAGAUGGGGACUCAAAUCAAGAUGUCUUGACUGAGCUCAGUGAUGAAGUUAAAUCAAAUUUGUCGAAAAGUGUUGCCUCACUUGCUGUGUGCAGUGGGGACACAGUGUUAUUUGCAUGCUCAGGCUUAGCUAUAGAACGCCACGGAUAUGUUACAAGGUUUGUGACUUCAGCAGAAUUGGCUCUAGUUUUCAACAAUGAAAAAUACAAAGAAAAACGUCACAACGUAAAGAUUGAAGUGCGCCAUGAAGGCAGCGAAGUUUACCAGGGUUUUCUGGCAACCUAUGAUGUAGAUUACAACUAUUCUGUUGUCAAGGUCAAGACCUUCCUGGAUGUUAAUGUUGGACUUAUUGAACAUGCGGUAGGGAUUCUGCCUGAUGGUAAGGUGGUAGCUCUAGGGCGUGGCACCUGUGGUGAACUAAUGGCAAGAAGUGUGAUGCUGGCUGACGAUCUGAGUGUGUGUGAAGAUAUUAAAGAUCCUGUGUCGUCUAUGCUUAAUAUUACAAAGGCUUGGCAAGGUGGGCCACUUUUUUCUUUUGAUGGGAACUUUGUUGGCAUGAACCUUUUUCUCAUUAUGGAAAGAGCUUUUUUCCUACCAUGGGGUGUACUGCUCAAGCGGGUAUAUAACUUUCGGACACCCCUAGAAAGCAAGAAAGGUUUUCCACCGUCAGAAACUAUGAAGGGAGUCAGCUUUGGAGAAAGACCCAGAGAUGAGAUAUCGAACUGCUAUCAAGACGUAUAUAGAGAUGGUCUCAACAAGAAACUGUUUGGGGAUCUAGACUUAAUGGGUUACCCCAAGCUACCAAUAACUAUGCUUGAUGAGACCUUUGGUGACGUAUGGGGUGAAGGUGUCUGGAGGGAAAUUGGUAAAAAAGCUUCUGAGAUAAGUCGCAAUGUUGUCGCACUUGCUUCCUUCAAUGGAAAAAAUAUGGUUUUUGCAUGCACGGGUUUUUUUAUUCCAUGGAAUGGGUCAACAGCCAUUCUGACAUCAGCUAGCCUGAUUAGAAAUGAUGGUGCUGAAAACAAGAUUGUUGAAAACUUGAGGUUUGAAGUAUUUCUUCCAAACGAACAAGUCAGAAGAGGGACCUUGAAGCAUUACAGUCUACAUUACAAUGUUGCUCUACUCGGUGUCGAAGAUAGCCGUGUUGUCCGACCACCAAAAAUUCAGCUUGAUUGUAGCAAGUCUCGAGUAGCAGCCAUAGGGCGUUGCUUCAGAUCAGGCACAUUAAUGGCCGCAAGUGGUCAGCUGGUUUCCUGGUCAGGCAGACUUGAUUGCAAGUUCGUUGUACGCUCGUCAUGUAAAAUCGCUAAGGCUGGGAUUGGAGGACCCCUUGUUAAUAUGGACGGAGAAGUUAUUGGCAUGAACUUCUAUUCAGAGAAAAUAGGAACCCCUUUCCUGUUAUGGAAUAAUAUUGGCAACAUUUUGGCAUAUUUUAAGGAGAAAAGCGAUGCUGAUGAAGUUGCCAAGGACAGUGGUUCCUCUUUCUGGAAAAUGAAUGGGGACCGCAGGUUUCGGUUAAACAGGUGGCCUGUGCCCAUGCCAUGUUGGCGUCAUCCUGACAAGCCAUGUCGGCGCUAUCCUUAUCACUGCGAUGAGUAUGUAACCAAAUCCAAGGAUGAGCCGGACAUUGAAAUACCACCUGGCGAGGAGUUUAGAUAUGGAUACAUAAGGGGAAAGAGAUACAGAUACCUUGUAAACUUUACGAUUCCCCAGUGA